rnacentral:lncRNA from 1 species
CCUAGAUUGUCCUAGAUUCUCUUUCUGGCUUUGCCGAUGAUUCACUGUGUAUAUUGUGGUGAAUUAUUUUGUUUCAGCUCUGUGUUUUUAUCUUUGGAAAAUUGGGGACCUUGGUGCUUAUAGCAUCUACCUACCUCCUCUGGGUGUGACAAGGGCACUUUGAAAAGGGGAUGGGAGAUACACACAAGAAGGAUGCCAUACAGAUGUUAUACUAAGCUGCAUUUAGUCCCAUAAAUUAAAAUAUACUACUCUGAUAAGAAUGAAAACAUUUACAAACUGUGACAUCCUGAUUUCCUAUUCUCUAGAGAUUCUAGAGAAAUACUGAAUGUGUCUGCGUUGAGCUUUAGUCGGUACAAGAUAUGGAUUGGGAAGCAGGAGUCAGGACAAUUAAGACUAGAAUCUACAAUUUUAACAAUUUAAAAAUUGUUUUUUUAACGUUUGGAGCCCACCCUUCUGAAAUCACCAUCUCCUAAAAGAUCCACUACAGCUUGUCCUGCUUCACAAAGCAAACCUUGGGAGAAAACAUAUGGGUGCUUAGUUGGAAGAGAGAGGCUUCUUAACAUUACCUUCAACCCAGCCCCAAGAAAACUCCUUUUAACCUUCAACUUGGAUUCCAGUGAAUGAAGUUGUUUGAAUGAGAUGAAGAAUGAAGGUUCAGGGAAGUUGAUUGCUUUGCUUGAGAAACCCCACUCAAGUCUGGCCAAGUCCUUCUCCUUGCUCUUUUCUGCCUCUCGACCAACAUUGGUGCUUCCCUAGUGGCCCCACGUUGCAUGCAGUGACCUCCUCUCUGGGACCUGUGAGUAUAAUACUUUUCUUCCUUUCAAGCUUUGUUCUCUUCUCCUGUGCCUACACAAAAGCCAAGUGCAUGAUCAGGGCAAGACGUAUGCUCAGAAAAGAACUGAGAAUGGGCUGGCCCAGUGGCGUAGUGGUUAAGUUUGAGCACUCCACUUCGGUGGCCCAGAGUUUGCAAGUUCAGAUCCUGGGCGCAGACCUAGCACCACUUGCCAGGCCACACUUUGGCAGCAUCCCACAUACUAAAUAGAGGAAGAUUGGCACAGAUGUUAUCUCAGUGGCAAUCUUCCUCAAGCAAAAAGAGGAAUAUUGGCAACAGAUGGUAGCUCAGGGCCAAUCUUCCUCACAUACACACACAAAAGAAAAGAACUGAGAAGACCCUAAGCUUUCACCUUGGUCUGAUCCCUAGGCUCAGUGAAAGCCUAGCUAAGCAUUGAAGGUGGGCCCCUGAACAUAGUCAAUUUUCAAAAAUUGGGAGAGUUCUGGGCAUUUGAGGAAAUCUCUUUCAAAACAGUAGCUGAACAAAAGCUAAGGAGCAGAGACUUCUGUGACUACUUUGACAAGGAAUAUGGUCUUUGCAAUAAUAGUUUGGGAAAAUCAAUUAAAA